ACGUCACUGAAGACAUGCUAGCUUCAAUCCAGUGGUCUUCAAAUGGAGAAUAAAAAGUGCAGCUGUGGCAUGUGGAAGCAGGAGAGCUCUGAGUUUCCCUGGGAGGCCUUCAAGUACCUCCUGUUGAGAGCCCUGGCGUAAUCCAUUGCUCUCGGCUUGCACCCUUUUAAUCAGCCUCUGCUUGAGCCAGUCAUUCCACUACAUCUCUGCAUCAGGUUUUUACCUGUUUUUGAAGAAGUGGUUUUUUUGUGAAAGGAUUUCAUUGGAAAAUAUGUGCUACAGCAUAAUUUGUCUGAAUGGCAAAAGUCACUCUGCUUCCAGUGAGGAGAAAAAGGGAUGCCUGCCUAGCAGACCUGAAAAAUUUUAUUAUUACACUUAUUCCAUUUCCUCUCUUUGUCCUCAUACCUUAAGAUAAUUGAUAUUUCAUCUUUGCUGUUUCUGUCCUCAAGGGAAGUUGCUUAUUUUGAGGAGGUGUGCUGAGCUGGGGGUGGGGAGAGGAAGCAGGGAAUCAACAAUAGUAUCAAAUAAAUCAAACUGAAUUAUUUAGCAAACCUGACCACCCCCACCCCUCCCUGCAGCUGGCAACUGCUUGAUAAAAUUAUUCCAAUUUAUGACAAAGUGUAUGUUCUUGGAAUAAAAGCUAUCUAUCCUUUCUG